CAACCUGAGAAAACACACGUACACACAUGAAUGAAUACAACAGAAUACCUAUCCACAGUCUUUUCAUUGUAAUGAGUAUGAACAUGUACAUCUAGGUCAACCACAUGUCCUGGAUUGCGCGGGACAGUCGUGCAUUUUGCAACUGUGUCACCCUUCCCACAAAGAAACAAUCAUGUCCUGCAUUUUAUCAACAUUUGAUCAGCACCACUAAUUUAGGAAAAAAAGGUUGAUUUCAGUCAGACAUUCCAACCUGUCUCUUGCAGCAAAACAGUGCCCCUCUGUCUCAGUAGGUGUAGACCAUGUAUCUGAUGCUGUCUGGACAGUGAAACAGCGCCCCAUCUGUCUCAGUAGGUGUAGACCAUGUAUCUGAUGCAGUCUGGACAGUGAAACAGUGCCCCCUCUGUCUCAGUAGGUGUAGACCAUGUAUCUGAUGCAGUCUGGACAGUGAAACAGCGCCCCCUCUGUCUCAGUAUGUAGACCAUGUAUCUGAUGCAGUCUGGACAGUGAAACAGCGCCCCAUCUGUCUCAGUAGGUGUAGACCAUGUAUCUGAUGCAGUCUGGACAGUGAAACAGUGCCCCUCUGUCUCAGUAGGUGUAGACCAUGUAUCUGAUGCAGUCUGGACAGUGAAACAGUGCACCUCUGUCUCAGUAGGUGUAGACCAUGUAUCUGAUGCAGUCUGGACAGUGAAACAGUGCACCUCUGUCUCAGUAGGUGUAGACCAUGUAUCUGAUGCAGUCUGGACAGUGAAACAGUGCACCUCUGUCUCAGUAGGUGUAGACCAUGUAUCUGAUGCAGUCUGGACAGUGAAACAGCGCCCCCUCUGUCUCAGUAUGUGUAGACCAUGUAUCUGAUGCAGUCUGGACAGUGAAACAGCGCCCCAUCUGUCUCAGUAGGUGUAGACCAUGUAUCUGAUGCAGUCUGGACAGUGAAACAGCGCCCCCUCUGUCUCAGUAGGUGUAGACCAUGUAUCUGAUGCAGUCUGGACAGUGAAACAGCGCCCCCUCUGUCUCAGUAGGUGUAGACCAUGUAUCUGAUGCUGUCUGGACAGUGAAACAGCGCCCCCUCUGUCUCAGUAGGUGUAGACCAUGUAUCUGAUGCUGUCUGGACAGUGAAACAGCGCCCCCUCUGUCUCACUAGGUGUAGACCAUGUAUCUGAUGCUGUCUGGACAGUGAAACAGCGCCCCCUCUGUCUCAGUAGGUGUAGACCAUGUAUCUGAUGCUGUCUGGACAGUGAAACAGUGCCCCCUCUGUCUCAGUAGGUGUAGACCAUGUAUCUGAUGCUGUCUGGACAGUGAAACAGCGCCCCCUCUGUCUCACUAGGUGUAGACCAUGUAUCUGAUGCUGUCUGGACAGCGAAACAGUGCCCCCUCUGUCUCAGUAUGUAUAGACCAUGUAUCUGAUGCUGUCUGGACAGUGAAACAGCGCCCCCUCUGUCUCAGUAGGUGUAGACCAUGUAUCUGAUGCUGUCUGGACAGCGAAACAGCGCCCCCUCUGUCUCAGUAUGUAUAGACCAUGUAUCUGAUGCUGUCUGGACAGCGAAACAGCGCCCCCUCUGUCUCAAGAUUUAGAUGCACUAUUGUAAAGUGGCUGUUCCACUGGAUGUCAUAAGGUAUAUGCACCAAUUUGUAAGUCGCUCUGGAUAAGAGCGUCUGCUAAAUGACUUAAAUGUAAAUGUAAUGUAAAUGUCUCAGUAGGUGUAGACCAUGUAUCUGAUGUUGUCUGGACCAAGGGUGGGGGCUCACUUUCGCCAAAAUCUGCCCAGAAUAAGCCCAAUACGAUUCUAUGGGAAUAAUAUGUAGACCUAAGCUUGUCGCCUGCCUUCCUGCCUUUGGGACAAAGACUCCCAUUGUUAGGGCGGAGUCAUGAGCGUCUCAUCAUUAUGUACAGAUCUCUGGUUUCCUCGCGAAUUAGGAAGGAAAGUUGUGGGGUGCGCAGUUCACUGUUAGGAUGCUGUAUUGCCCUAAAGUAAAUUGAUGUUUUGCCAAAAUUAUAUAAUUACUCCUUCCUAAAUAAAUGUCUAAUAAUAAUUAUAAAUACUCCACCAGGGAGCAUUACAUAGCCACAGAGGAAUAUUAGCUUAUUAUUAUUAUUUUUUUAAAGCUUAUUGUUUUCAAUCAGAAGUGUGUAGGCCUAAGCCCAUUUGGGUAGUGCACCUGGUAAUAGGUCUAGUUGAUGGAGUUGCAGCCGUCAGUGAAAAGCAUCUAAAUGUGUUAAGAUAGUGUCUUGAGUAUUUUUUUUUUAACUAGGCAAGUCAGUUAAGAACAAAUUCUUAUAUACAAUGACGACCUACCCGUCAUUGUGUGUGGAAAAUAUAUGGUGUGUCUCUCUCCAGAAUGCAUGUAUACAUGUAUACACAUGACCAAAAGUAUGUAGACACCUACUCCUCAUUCCAAAAUCAUGGGCAUUAAUAUGGAGUUGGUCUCCCCUUUGCUGCUAUAACAUCCUCCACUCUUCUGGGAAGGAUUUCCACUAGAGGGUGGAACAUUGCUGCAGGGACUUACUUCCAUUCAGCAAGGUUGGGCACUGAUGUUGGACUAUUAGGCCUGGCUCGCAGUCAGUGUUCCAGUUCAUCCCAAAAGUGUUUGAUGGGGUUGAGGUCAGGGCUCUGUGUAGGCUAGUCAAGUCCACCAAUCUCAACAAAGCAUUUCUGUAUGGACCUGGCUUUGUGCACAGGGGGCAUUGUCAUGCUCAAACAAGAAAAGGCCUUCCCCAAACUGUUGCCACAAAGUUGGAAGCACAGUAUUGUAUAGAAUGUCAUUGUAUGCUGUAGCGUUAAGAUUUCCCUUCACUGGAACUAAGGGGCCCGAACCAUGAAAUGCAGCCAUUAUUCCUCCUACAUAUAGUGUACUCUAUACCAUCUACUACAUCUUACCUAUGCCAUACGGCCAUCACUCAUUCAUAUAUUUUUAUGUACAUAUUCUUAUUUCUUUCUUUACACUUGUGUGUAUAAGGUAGUUGUUGUGAAAUUGUUAGGUUAUAUUACUUGUUAGAUAUUACUGCAUGGUCGGAACUAGAAGCACAAGCAUUUCGCUACACUCGCAUUAACAUCUGCUAACCAUGUGUAUGUGACAAAUAAAAUUUGAUUUCAUCAAACUUUACUGUUGGCACUAUGCAUUCGGGCAGCUAGCGUUCUCCUGAAAUCUGCCAAAUCCAGAUUAGUCUGUCAGACUGCCAGAUGGUGAAGAGUGAUUCAUCACUCCAGAGAACAUGUUUCCACUGCUCCAGAGUCUAAUGGCGGCGAGCUUUAUACCACUCCAGCCGACGCUUGACAUUGUGCAUGGUGAUCUUAGGCUUGCGUGCGGCUGCUUGGAAACCCAUUUCAUAAAGCUCCCACAAACAGUUAUCGUGCUGACGUUGCUUCCAGAGGCAGUUUGCAACUCGGUAGUGAGUGUAGCAACCGAGGGAAAAUUAUUUUUAUGCUCUACGCGCUUCAGCACUUGGAAGUCCAUGUUUAUCAGCUUGUGUGGCCUACCACUUCACAGCUGAGCCGUUGUUGCUCCUAGAUGUUUCCACUUCACAAUAACAGCACAUACAGUUUCCCGGGGUAGCUCUAGCAAGUCUGACAUUUGAUGAACUGACUUGUUGGAAAGGUGCCCCGUUGAAUGUCACUGAACUCUUCAGUAGGGCCAGACUACUGCCAAUGUUUGUCAAUGGAGAUUUUAAAUGUGGUCACCCUAUGUACAUCCUGCAAAACCUCACUGACAAACCAGUGUCAUAAAAGAGGGAAUCCAGUCAAGGCAGUUUCACAUGGGAUUUUCAAUGGUGAAGCUACCAAAAGCUAAACGGCUUUGAUCAAAAGCAGAACCGAGUUGCCUGCACUCAGCCUACACUAAGUCU